CACGUAGGGCGCAAGCGUUGUCCGGAUUUAUUGGGCGUAAAGAGCUCGUAGGCGGCUUGUCGCGUCGUCCGUGAAAACUUGGGGCUCAACCCCAAGCUUGCGGUCGAUACGGGCAGGCUCGAGUUCGGUAGGGGAGACUGGAAUUCCUGGUGUAGCGGUGAAAUGCGCAGAUAUCAGGAGGAACACCGGUGGCGAAGGCGGGUCUCUGGGCCGAUACUGACGCUGAGGAGCGAAAGCGUGGGGAGCGAACAGG
rnacentral:rRNA from 1 species